rnacentral:rRNA from 1 species
UACGAAGGGGGCUAGCGUUGCUCGGAAUCACUGGGCGUAAAGCGCACGUAGGCGGCUUAUUAAGUCAGGGGUGAAAUCCUGGAGCUCAACUCCAGAACUGCCUUUGAUACUGAUGAGCUUGAGUUCGGGAGAGGUGAGUGGAACUGCGAGUGUAGAGGUGAAAUUCGUAGAUAUUCGCAAGAACACCAGUGGCGAAGGCGGCGCACUGGCCCGAUACUGACGCUGAGGUGCGAAAGCGUGGGGAGCAAACAGG